CUGAAUGAGAGUUCCUGAUUGUGGAUUUCAAGUUGGGCAAAGAAAAGAGGCAACUGCAGUGGUACCUGAAGCAUCAGGUAGUUUCCUGAAUUGUUGGUGGGCAGAGAUGUUCAUGGUGCUGCUCGUGGAAGCUCUAGGAAAUGUGGAACAGCAACACACAAGGAGUGGGUGUGUUUGACACCACCUUGAGGGUAUGUAGGCACUGAAUUUAUUUAUGGCACACGUAAUCCUGUUCUGACUGGUGCUUUUAAUGACUUCACAGGUUAAGCUAUUAAAAUUAAACUGGAUAUACAUGUCAACUUAGAUAUCUUCUCCACCUGCUGUCUAGCAGGUGAUAGUUGUGUGAAGAAAUUGAGAAA
rnacentral:lncRNA from 12 species